UCACCGCUUACGCGGGCAGUUCCGUUAGAGUCCCCGGCAUGAUCCGCUGGCAACUAACAGUAGGGGUUGCGCUCGUUAUGGGACUUAACCCGACACCUCACGGCACGAGCUGACGACAGGCAUGCAGCACCUCGCACGCUGUCCGAAGAAGAUCACGUUUCCGCGACUGUCUACGUGCGUUCGAGCCCUGGUAAGGUUCCUCGCGUAUCAUCGAAUUAAACCACAUGCUCCACCGCUUGUGCGGGCCCCCGUCAAUUCCUUUGAGUUUCAAUCUUGCGAUCGUACUUCCCAGGUGGGAUACUUAAUGCUUUCGCUCAGACACCAACAGUGUAUCGCUGACGUCGAGUAUCCAUCGUUUAGGGCGUGGACUAC
rnacentral:misc_RNA from 1 species